rnacentral:rRNA from 1 species
ACGGGAGGCAGCAGUGGGGAAUUUUGGACAAUGGGCGCAAGCCUGAUCCAGCCAUGCCGCGUGAGUGAAGAAGGCCUUCGGGUUGUAAAGCUCUUUCAGGUGGAAAGAAAACGCAUAGGUUAAUACCUUGUGUGGAUGACGGUACCAUCAGAAGAAGCACCGGCUAACUACGUGCCAGCAGCCGCGGUAAUACGUAGGGUGCGAGCGUUAAUCGGAAUUACUGGGCGUAAAGCGUGCGCAGGCGGUGAUGUAAGACAGAUGUGAAAUCCCCGGGCUCAACCUGGGAACUGCGUUUGUGACUGCAUCACUCGAGUACGGCAGAGGGAGGUGGAAUUCCGCGUGUAGCAGUGAAAUGCGUAGAUAUGCGGAGGAACACCGAUGGCGAAGGCAGCCUCCUGGGCCAGUACUGACGCUCAUGCACGAAAGCGUGGGGAGCAAACAGGAUUAGAUACCCUGGUAGUCCACGCCCUAAACGAUGUCAACUAGUUGUUCGGUGAGGAGACUCAUUGAGUAACGCAGCUAACGCGUAAGUGA